rnacentral:rRNA from 1 species
CCUACGGGACGCAGCAGUGAGGAAUAUUGGUCAAUGGUCGGGAGACUGAACCAGCCAAGCCGCGUGAGGGAUGAAGGUACAGAGUAUCGUAAACCUCUUUUGUCAGGGAACAAAGGCGGGGACGUGUCCCCGGAUGAGUGUACCUGAAGAAAAAGCAUCGGCUAACUCCGUGCCAGCAGCCGCGGUAAUACGGAGGAUGCGAGCGUUAUCCGGAUUUAUUGGGUUUGAAGGGUGCGCAGGCGGUCUGUUAAGUCAGCGGUAAAAGCCCGGGGCUCAACCCCGGCCCGCCGUUGAAACUGGCAGUCUCGAGUUGGAGAGAAGUAUGCGGAAUGCGCGGUGUAGCGGUGAAAUGCAUAGAUAUCGCGCAGAACUCCGAUUGCGAAGGCAGCAUGCCGGCUCCACACUGACGCUGAGGCACGAAAGCGUGGGUAUCGAACAGGAUUAGAUACCCGUGUAGUC